UUAAACCAAAGGAGGAAGAAAUAAAUAAAGAAAAAAUUGGAAGAUUGUUUUUGCCAAUCCCCUUAUAUAUAGGCCAUUUGGUUUGGCUGUGACAACCAGUGAGUAAUACUUUAGUCCCCAAAAUAUUCAGAUCACACAGAGGUGUAGUUUUGAUUAAGGUCACUGUCUCGCACUAUGGAUAUCAUCAGCAUUCAGGAAGUCCCACAACAACGACAAUUGAUCAUGAAGGAAGUUCCUCAGCAAACUUUACCAGAGGCUACUAUUGUAGAAAUGGAGUCCGGUAGCAUGCAUGUCCGCACAUCCGAAAAGGCAUCCAAGUGGUGGGUGUUAUAUGUACAAAUGGCUAUUCAAAGCAUGACACUACUAUAUGGAGAACUUGGAACAGCAUUCCAUAGCCUGGGGGUGGUGUACGGAGAUAUGGGAACCUCACCCAUCUACGUUUACUCAGCCACAUUCUCUGAAGGAAUUAAACACGAGGACGAUAUAAUUGGGGUCCUCUCCAUCAUUUUCUACACCAUCACCCUAAUAGCUCUCAUCAAAUAUAUCUUCAUCGUUCUCCGAGC